rnacentral:lncRNA from 1 species
AAGAUUUUGGAAAGCAAAGAGUGUGUGUCUGGUUAAUACGCUUCCAUAAAAAUCUUCCCUGAAUAUUCAGCUGACAAUCGAGGGUUGGAGAAUAGUGACCAGAGGGAUCGAGUCACCAGAGUAGCAGAUUUACCUUUCAGCUUGGUGUCAGAAAGUGGGAUUGUAGCCAAAACCAUUUUGGGUAAGUAGUAAUUCCUUGUGUCUAUCUUGACGCCCUGAAUCUAUGAUCCCCAUGGUUUUGUAAGUCUACAUCAUUUUAGGAAAGGUUAUUUAGUAUAUGUGUUUUAUGUGACUCAGUUUUACAUAAGGUCCCGUUAAAUUAGUCUAGUAAGGGAACUAGACAGAGAGAUAUGUAUUUCUAGUAAGUGAACUAGAGAAGGUCUAAUAAGAGAAUUAGACAGAUAAAAGGAAGUCUAUAAAGUGAUAUAGACAGAGAAUUUAGUAUAUAAGUGAAUAUACUACGAUAGUGUGCACAGAGUUUCAGGUUCACCUUGUCCACCCUCUAAUUGUCAUUAGUUAAGUCUGGUUGUGAGUGUGACUAAGUGUUUGAAAGAUUUGUCCUAGGAAUGGGAAAUUACCAUGCAAGAAUAUGAAGUAGUUAAUUUUUCUUGUUCAUAUGUAUUUUAUGCUUAAACAAGGUUUAUAAUCAUUAGUACUGACUGUAAGGAUAUGAAAUAGUUAAACUCUUUUUGUUUUAUAUGCUAACCCUGAAAAUAUACUCACUGAGAAUCUUGUUAAAGCACAUUUGUAGUGUCCAUGUCUUUAUUGCAAACAAUGAUUCUCCAUCAAUUGGGUGAUUGUCUAUAUUGGGGACACACUUUGGUAAGUUAGUAGUGUGUCCACCCUGAGUCAGCAGUAUGGGAAAUGUAAGUUCUGGUCCUGAGUGACCAAUAUAUAUACAUAUAUAUAUGAUAGCAGUACUGUAUAUUAGAAAAGAACUGGCUCGCAGGUUUUGCCUGAUAGACCUACUUAAAUCUUUUGCUUUAUUCUUUCUGUCGCAUAGAAGUAUAAGUUUAUUACUCUGCUUUAUUGCAAGUUAUUUCACAUGGGAUCUGUGUGCCUGGUAUGAUUGUUACUUUAAUACCAUAAGCCCACUACACUUUCUAUGAGAGUGGGAUAGUGUAAGUGUGUUGCAUUGUUUGCAUGAUGAGCUCAGUAUUUUUAGAACUGAGACAAAAAGUCACUUCAUUAGUAUUUGAAAGUUAAUUCCACAUAUGGGAUUAAUUGUAUAGAACACCAAUCAGCACAUCUUCCAUGCCCUGUGUGUUUCUUGCAGAGGAUCCAUACUGUAAAUAUGAUUUUUGUUUGUAAAUAAGAGCAACAUUUACAUUUUCAGCGGUCCAACACGUGCUUCAUUUUGCGCUGUAAACUAACCUUUUUUAUUGCAACAGAUUCCUUUUAAAUGAUCCAGUGUAAUAACUACUGCAUAUGUUUUGUGUCUUCUGUGUCUAACAUUAUAUGUGUUAUGUUCUUUUAAAUUGUGGUAUAUAGCCUGGAUCAGAGAUAAUGGACAAAGGUUUUUACCUGUGUUACUAAGGCUCUUGGAGACUGACCGGUCAAUAAAAAAUUUUAAGUCUCUGAGAGUUCUGUAAGAUUCUGGUGAAACCAUGUCUGUGUAAUCUGGUCCAAAUGUAUGCUCAAUUUCUAUAAGAUUUAAGUUGAUGCAGUAUCAUCUCAGGUUAGUUAAUGGAAGUUUCAUACAAAUAUUUGAGUUAUGAGCGCGCUAUAUAAAUGGAUCCUUUCUCUAUAUACAAUACUAUAGUAGAUUAAAGUAAUGAAGUUAAUAAGAAUUAAAAUAAAUAAAUAAAUAAAAAGUAUACAUAAGAAUCCCUAAAAUAAAUCUAAUAUAAACUAAAAUUGGUAUACCUUACAAUAAUAUGUUCUGAGUACAGCUGUUAACUGUUUAUUCUGUGUAAAUGGUGACUGUGAUAAUGUGUGAAGUUUGCAGCUUAACUGGAAAGUGGUUUAAUUUAUAUGUUGCUGUGUUGUUUUAAAUUAUAUUUGAAUCAGUUUGUCUCAGUCUAGUGAUACUGAUAAAAAUGCCAGUCAAAUAACCUAGCAAAUAACUGUUUUAUUAGCUGUUGACUACUAGCAUUUUGGCCAAGAGGAGUUGGAGUAGUUCCAUCAGGCUCUGUGUUGUGUUCUGAUAUAGCUAUAUGGGAAUGGAGAUUUGGAGGUGUUAGUUUAAGACUGCUUUCAUAUUGUGUCUACCCGUGUUUCCUAGGAGAGACACAGAGAGUGUAGUUGCGUGCCCAAGAAUGUGUUUUCUGUAUUGGCAUAUCUGCUGGGUAUCCAUUAUGUGUUUUCUGCUACGUCUGUUUUGUGAGAUGUCUGUUUUGUGAGAUGACAUGUAAUAUUACAUUGGAUGCUGAGUAUGAGUUAUAUGGUUUGAAAUGAAUUGGUGUGUUAUGUGUUUUAUGUAUUUUAUUGUCCAUUGUGUAGGAGUUUAACUAUCAGAGUGAUUUGCAUAUCAUUAACGCAAGCAUUUAGUGUUUUUACAAAAGGUGAAAUGCUGUCCAGCCGGCUAGAAUGAAACAAUUGUAUGCUAUCGCUCCUGGAGCAAGAAAAGCGCUUGUUACAUCCCACGUGAAAGGGGCCCCGCAAACUUCUGCUGUUCAAAUCGUGGGUCCACGUUUACAUUUGCAAAUUGAUUAAUCCUGAAGUCAUUCUUUUAAAAAGGAUAAAAAGGAUUGAAUGGACAAGAUGUUUCUCCCUCAUAAAGGAGUUCUAAUAGGGGAGUAUUGUCCAUCUCAGAGUUAACUCUACUUUUAAAGUAUAUUGCAAUGUUUGUGUCAAAGUAAGAUUCAUCUAGUAUGCCUCAUUGAUUAUGGGGUAAUAAUAACAUGGUAUUUUUAAUAGAGAUUAGACAAUUUCUGAAAUUUAUAAGUGAGGUAAUUUUAAUCUCCUAAACUACUGUAUUAUAUUUGUAUGGGUAAAUUGAAAGCAUUUUGCAGAUCCAGAAGAGUAUUAAUAAAUAAUAUAAUAAUCUCACUAGGAGCCAAAUUAUGCAAAGAGGCUAUCCAAAGUAUGCACUAACGGGUUAAACUUGUUUUCUUGAUAAGCGUAUAACAUUUAGUUUUGUGGUUAGACUUUUUAUACUCAAUUUGAAAUAAGUCCCAACUACAUCCUUGCACGGCACCAGGUACAGGAAGCUAUAUGCGUUUUGAAAAUUUGCAAGGUCUUAGUGUUUUCAAUAUAUUAUAAUAAUGGAAAAGUACCUAACCGCAUGUCUGCAUUACGCUCAUGACACAGACUGUCAGUAUUGCAAGCCCUAUAUGAAGGCUAUGCCUAUAUGUAUAUACCCCUAGACAACCUUGCUUUAUAUACAAAAUUUAACUAUCCAUUCAACCUUUAAAAGCUUAUUAAUAUUAUAUCUGUGUGGUACACAAAGAGGGGGUGUGAGUUAGGUAAUCCCAUCCUGCAUAUGGAAUAAAGGCAGAGGUAGAGGAUUUGGUCAAAGGGUCUAACUUUUGUAGAGGUAACAACUUCAGCAUUGGUGGAACACACUGUUCUAAUUGUGGAUAGCAGGGUCACUGGAAAAAUGAGUGCCCAAACCCACCCCCACAUAUUCCUCAAUACCAACCAUAGCUUCCAACCAACCCCAGCCUAAUACACAGGUGGUUCAGGUUUGUAAUAUUUUAUAUAGUUUAAGGUGUUAAUCCAAGAGUAUUGAAUUAUUCGGGAUUAUUAAAGUAAUUAAUUUUGAAUAUCAAAUCAAGGUUCCAGUUUAGGAACAGAGUUUUAUUGGGAAUUAUCCCCAUAUGUAUAUGUUAGUGUUUUAAAAUUCAUCCUAACAAGGAUUUCUAUAGAGUGAGUGCUACUCUCAUCCGUACAAAGGCAUUCCAAAGGGGUAUUAUGUAAAACUUCAUAGAAGACAGAUUGCAUAAAAUAUAAGAGAAGUACAUGUUACACAAAUUAAGGGUUUAACCUUAAUCUCUAAUUUAAGUUUUAGCCUAGGUAAUUAAUUCAUGUUGUAUUGAUUCUUAUGUUUGUAUGAUUGUAGAGACCGUCCUGGAGUGUUUGUGCCGCCUGAUUUCUGGGACUACACACCAAUCUCUCUGGCUGACCAUGCAAUAAGUAUUUUGCAAUUACAUCUGUUUGGUCAUUAUCCAUGCAGGCCGAAGAAACUGAGAUACUUAUUUACGAGGACAUAAACUUUGCACGCAAGAACCUGGAAAGUCCUGAAGGUGCAGUGCUGUCUAAUGCCGCUGGUUCUGUAAUAACCCUUUCAACCAUUGGGGUGUUGCACAGAGCUUUGUGGUGAAAAUCCAGCAAACAAAAGAAGAACUAAGAACUAUGUGGAAGCUGACAUUGUCUUGUUGUCAGCCAUAUUCCUACCCUUAUCCAUUUUAUAGAACAAAAUGUCUGGUGUCUAAACUAAUUUCUUUAUACUCUGUGAAAGACUUAUUCUAUUUUUCUGAACUAUGCUGAACUAUUGAACUAUUUUUAUUUUUAUUUUUGUAGAGUUAGCCAGAGAGAGAGGAAGUGUUAGCUGACCCAGGGAUGGAUGUACUAUGUGUGUUUUUAUAUAUGUUGAGUGUGCCAAGGAUGGAUUCCCAUGUUUUGAGGAACUGCGUGAGGAUAUGACUGGUUUUGACUGGACUUUUGGAAUAGGGAAAUGGUUAAAAGAUAUAGGACGCAAGGUCCUGGUUGUGCAAUAAUAUAGUUGCUAUAAGCCCAAGUUCCAUUCUGUCUUAAACAUCCAUUUUCUAUAUAUCUGUCUGCAAAAGUAUUAAGUGGUUUUUGUUUUGUUUUUUUUUCUGCUGAGUUUCUGUUUCUUGUAGACCACAUGAUUGCUUGGGAAUGCCAUAAUGUGGAAAUUUCUCUGUCUUGGGAGAAUGUUAACCGAUGAUAUGAGCAAUAUAUAUUGCUCAAAGAGGGGUAACAAUUGUGAUUAUUGGGGCUCAGUUGGAUGGAACACCGGGACAGAUUGGGGCCACAGAAUGCAUUAGAUAAAAAGGAUAAGAAUGGGAAGUCCCUCUUGACUAGAAUGACCCUAACAAAGUACCCCUAUAGGGCAAACUG